GAUGAACGCUGACAGAAUGCUUAACACAUGCAAGUCUUUGGCGAAUCUGUGCUUGCACAGGCUAGCCAAGGCGGACGGGUGAGUAACGCGUAAAGAACUUGCCCUGCAGACAGGGAUAACAGACGGAAACGACUGAUAACACCUGAUACAGUUGCCGGCACGCAUGUGCCUGGCAAUGAAAAGAGAUGCUGCAGGAGAGCUUUGCGUCCUAUUAGCUUGUUGGUGAGGUGACGGCUCACCAAGGCGAUGAUAGGUAGCCGGCCUGAGAGGGUGAACGGCCACAAGGGGACUGAGAUACGGCCCUUACGCCUACGGGAGGCAGCAGUGGGGAAUAUUGGACGAUGGGGGCAACCCUGAUCCAGCAAUUCUGUGUUCACGAAGAAGGUUUUCGGAUUGUAAAGUGCUUUCAGCAGGGAAGAAGAAAGUGACGGUACCUGCAGAAGAAGCGACGGCUAAAUACGUG
rnacentral:rRNA from 1 species